GGAGGAAUACCCAAGUCCGGCUGAAGGGAUCGGUCUUGAAAACCGACAGGAGCUUAACGGCUCGCGGGGGUUCGAAUCCCUCUUCCUCCG
rfam:Staphylococcus capitis strain CR03 genome assembly, contig: BN1517_Contig_16